rnacentral:tRNA from 1 species
GGAAGGGCUGUGGCUUAGUGGGCAGGGCAUCUGUUUAGCAUGCAGAAGGUGCCAGGUUCAAUACCCACCACUUCCC